UACGGAGGGAGCUAGCGUUGUUCGGAAUUACUGGGCGUAAAGCGCACGUAGGCGGCUUUGUAAGUUAGAGGUGAAAGCCCGGGGCUCAACUCCGGAACUGCCUUUAAGACUGCAUCGCUUGAAUCCAGGAGAGGUGAGUGGAAUUCCGAGUGUAGAGGUGAAAUUCGUAGAUAUUCGGAAGAACACCAGUGGCGAAGGCGGCUCACUGGACCGGAAUUGACGCUGAGGUGCGAAAGCGUGGGGAGCAAACAGG
rnacentral:rRNA from 1 species